rnacentral:rRNA from 1 species
GGAAGUAAAAGUCGUAACAAGGUCUCCGUUGGUGAACCAGCGGAGGGAUCAUUACCGAGUUUUCAACUCCCAAACCCUUAUGUGAACCUACCUAUCGUUGCUUCGNCGGACUCGCCCCAGCCGGACGCGGACUGGACCAGCGGCCGCCGGGGACCAUCAAACUCUUGUAUUAUCAGCAUCUUCUGAAUACGCCGCAAGGCAAAACAAAUAAAUUAAAACUUUCAACAACGGAUCUCUUGGCUCUGGCAUCGAUGAAGAACGCAGCGAAAUGCGAUAAGUAAUGUGAAUUGCANAAUCCAGUGAAUCAUCNAAUCUUUGAACGCACAUUGCGCCCGCCAGCAUUCUGGCGGGCAUGCCUGUUCGAGCGUCAUUUCAACCCUCGACCUCCCUUUGGGGAAGUCGGCGUUGGGGACCGGCAGCNCNCCGCCGGCCCUGAAAUGGAGUGGCGGCCCGUCCGCGGCGACCUCUGCGUAGUAAACCAACUCGCACCGGAACCCCGACGUGGCCACGCCGUAAAACACCCAACUUCUGAACGUUGACCUCGAAUCAGGUAGGACUACCCGCUGAACUUAANCAUAUCAAUAAGCGGAGGA